GGAGUUAGCCGGUGCUUCUUCUGUGAGUGAUGUCCUUCCUGCCGGCUAUUAACCCGCAGGCCUUCUUCCUCACUGAAAGUGCUUUACAACCCGAAGGCCUUCUUCACACACGCGGCAUGGCUGGAUCAGGGUUGCCCCCAUUGUCCAAUAUUCCCCACUGCUGCCUCCCGUAGGAGUCUGGGCCGUGUCUCAGUCCCAGUGUGGCUGAUCAUCCUCUCAGACCAGCUACGGAUCGUCGCCUUGGUGAGCCGUUACCUCACCAACCAGCUAAUCCGACAUAGGCUCAUCCGAUAGCGCGAGGCCCGAAGGUCCCCCGCUUUCCCCCGUAGGGCGUAUGCGGUAUUAGCCUGGGGUUUCCCCAGGUUAUCCCCCACUACCGGGCAGAUUCCUAUGCAUUACUCACCCGUCCGCCGCUCGCCACCAGGGAGCAAGCUCCCCGUGCUGCCGCUCGACUUGCAUGUGUUAGGCCUGCCGCCAGCGUUCAAUCUGAGCCAGGAUCAAACUCUGA
rnacentral:rRNA from 1 species